CUGAACGGAAAGCCCUUGUGACUUAAUCACUUCUUCAGAAGACUCCACCACCUAAUACCACCGGCUGGUGAUUAAGCGCCAGCACAGGCAUCUGCGCGGGGAGGGAACACAUUCAGGCCACGUCGGAUACGCGGUGAAAAGCAGUGACUGGAAGAGAGUUUUGAGAGGUCUCAUUGCAAGACUCAAACACCACCAACACUGCGGACUGGAACCCGGGAAACGGCUGGCACGGCCGCCAGGAACCUCCACCAGGGGAGCUGCCUGCUGCACACCUGGAGCAGGAGCCGGUGGGCCUUCCCUCCUGCUCUGGAGGAGCAGCUGCCUGGGACCACCCUCAUGCCUGCCUCACCAGCACUCCAUGCCACCUGCACAAGGUGGCACUGAUACUAUUUGGCAGCUGCAAAUAAAACUCUUAAUUAGAACACGAUUUCCAAUUUCCAGCAUUGCAAAAAUAAACUUUUUUAAAAA